rnacentral:rRNA from 1 species
UACGGAGGUGGCAAGCGUUGCUCGGAAUCACUGGGCGUAAAGGGCGCGUAGGCGGGGAGGUAAGUCGGGUGUGAAAUCCCUCGGCCCAACCGAGGAACUGCGCUCGAGACUGCUUCUCUUGAGUCCCGUAGAGGAAGAUGGAAUUCCCGGUGUAGCGGUGAAAUGUGUAGAGAUCGGGAGGAACACCGGUGGCGAAGGCGGUCUUCUGGACGGUGACUGACGCUGAGGCGCGAAAGCGUGGGGAGCAAACGGG